rnacentral:rRNA from 1 species
UAAGCGGAGGAAAAGAAACUAACUAGGAUUCCCUUAGUAACGGCGAGUGAACCGGGAUGAGCUCAAAUUUAAAAUCUGGCGUCUUUCAGGCGUCCGAGUUGUAAUCUAUAGAGGCGUUUUCCGCGCCGGACCGCGUCCAAGUCUCUUGGAAUAGAGUAUCAAAGAGGGUGACAAUCCCGUACUUGACGCGACAACCGGUGCUCUGUGAUACGUUCUCAAUGAGUCGAGUUGUUUGGGAAUGCAGCUCUAAAUGGGUGGUAAAUUCCAUCUAAGGCUAAAUAUUGGCGAGAGACCGAUAGCGAACAAGUACCGUGAGGGAAAGAUGAAAAGCACUUUGGAAAGAGAGUUAAACAGCACGUGAAAUUGUUAAAAGGGAAACGAUUGAAGUCAGUCGUGUGAAAGGUAUUCAGCCGUCUCUGGCGGUGUAUUUGCCUUUCACGGGUCAACAUCAGUUUGAUCCGGUAGAAAAAGGCGGGAGGAAGGUGGCACCCUCGGGUGUGUUAUAGCCUCCUGUCAUAUGUGCCGGACCAGACUGAGGAACGCAGCUUGCCGCAAGGCCGGGGUUCGCCCACGUACAAGCUUAGGAUGUUGACAUAAUGGCUUUAAACGACCCGUCUUGAAACACG